rnacentral:lncRNA from 1 species
GGGGCGGGGCGGCGGGGCUGCCCUCUCGAAGCCGGCGUCUGCGGCCAGGGAAGAAAGUGCGGUGUAAGAGUCGGCCCCGAGGGUGCUGGCGACAGCUUCAGGCCCGCGGUAUGGGGGUCCUGGGCGGGGCGGGGGCACUGCAGGUCUCCCAGGACAAGUAGUGCCCGCUUGUUUGUGCUGAGUGCAGAGAGCGGCAAACUGACUACAAAUACUACUACUAGUACUAGUACUACUACUAUUACUAGUACUAAUACUAGUACUACUAUUACUACCACCAACAGCACACGCGCCACAGGGGAGAGCGCGGGAAGUCGGAUGCAGGACGCCCAGGCCUGUCUUCCGGGCAGCAGGUGGCCUGAGGAUGCCUGGACACUUGACCCGGAACCAUUUCUGAAGUGGACAGAGUGGGGCGGCGCCCGGGGCUGAAGCUGGACUCUGCCUGCAUUGGCGGGAGCCGUGGCCAACGUCCAGGACCAGGAAUCAAGAGGAUGGUGACAACUUUGGCCCAUACUGUCACCUGUCACCACUGUCAUCCAUCCACCACUUGGAUUUACAUGGUUUACUUUAUGGAGCUCAAAGGCCUGGGGCUUUGCACGUAUGACCUCCUUCAACGCGGAAGUUGGAAUGAUGACACAGGCAUUGUCUGGGCUCUGCUGGGAGCCACUCGUUCAAGGACAGUGCCAAGCUCUCGUUUUACAUGGCCUCCUUGGAGCACAUCUAAUGGGAAACAGCUCCUCACUGCAGUCUCUUUGUUCACUGACUGGAACCUGAAUGCCUCGCUUUGCCUAAUAAAUAACCCAGCGGCCCAAACACGGCCUCCACCCUGGCUUAGCAAAUGGAACUGGCGAAGCUCUGAAGCACACUCAGAGCCAACGCCGUUGGAAGGACCGGCCUCUCUUGGCGAUUCGGUCGGUUGUGCCGGGCUCUGUUUCCUCCCAGGUUUGCUGGGCAUUGUUCACCUACAGCAGAGCCCUCUGUGCCUGCUCCUCCCGGCACAGGCAGCACCGAGCACAGGUCCUGGGGUGGGGGCUGCCAGCUGA